CAUGUAUGGAUGUGUUAUGAGAUUCUAUGUUUUUAUGUGUUUUAUUCUUUGUUUUAUUAUCUUUUAAUAUUCAAGCAUAUUGUAAAGUGUUUAUAUAUUUCACAGAAUUUGCUGUACUUUCCCAUGUCACAAGAUUCGAUGUAUUGCUCCAUUGUCAUGCAACCCGACAGUGAACUCUGCAAUACAUAUAGUUUAAGCAGGAAACAGAUGCGGGUCACCCAGACUACAAUAGAAAACGGAUGAGGCACCUAAACCACAACAGGAAAACAGAUGCGCGACUCCCUAACCACAAAAGAUUAAGUCAGCGCCACGUCUUUUAGAAAGAAGCAGACACACACGCACAUAUACAACUGUUGGUCUAAAGGAAUUUGUAAAAGAGGAAAUGUGACGUAUUUGCAUACACGAUGUAAACUAUAAAUAAAGAGCCAUCGCCUGCACUCGGUGUGGGUCUCGCCAGAGUCCUCACCCGUGCGUGGGUCUCACCAGAGUCCUCACCCGUGCGCGGGGUCUCGCCAGAGGCCUCACGCAUGCACGUUGCUGUUAUUAUAUUCUAACUGUCUGAGUGUCUUUAUUCAACCUGAAGAAUGUCUUAUUAAAAAUAAACUCUUGACAUUUAAUUGGUCCUUCGAGCCGGAUGUAGGACAUCGAAUUAUAACUAAUUUUAUGCUCCAACGGAGUGACCUCGUCGUUUCCUGACAUCGUGGAGAGCCCGCGCUGAAGUCUGUCGACAGCCUCUUUCCUAUGAAGGAGAAAAGACCAACUACGUGAAUUCGGGGUUGGCCAGCGUUCUUAGUAAGAGGUCCACGAUCCUGGGGAACGAGGAGGAAUCUCUGACCGGCACUUAUAUCAUCAUAACCAGGUGAAUAUUAACACUCAAAGACACAUCGCAAAUAAUCGUCUUUUAGAUUGACACUUUUCUAAGGGAAAAACUCGUCCUGUAGGGACUGGCAGUUUAAAAAAAGACUCGCUUGUAAGACGAAACUGGCAGUCCAGAAGAGACUCGUUUCGCAAUAAAAAAAAGCUGGUAGUCGACAAAAUUUACUCCGGGAGUAAAUGGGAAAAGGAAAGUGUCAAUUAAAAUAGGAUUACACUACCGCGUAUGUGAAUUGUUUGUAUUUAAAAAGAGGAAGUGAGUGUCAUUUGAAGAGGGACAGUAGGACCCUACACCACUUCUAUUGUUUUCCUGUGUCGACUGAAAUACUGGUGAGGAAGGGAAAAGGUUGCGCUUC
ensembl:lncRNA